CAUGUCUGUUCCUGCUGGACAAUAAAUUCAUAAAUGAGGAAACUAAGGCUCAGAAAGGGUAAGUGAUUUGCCCGAGGUCAGACAGUUAGUGUCUGAGGCAAGAUUUGAACUCAGGUCUUUCUAGCUCCCAUCUAGCACUACCUGUUCCACUGUACCUACUAUUUCUAUAAGUUUUUAAAAGCCUAGAAUCAAAUUUACACUUGAUAUAAUUAGCAAAGAACCAUCAUCUUCUAUACAAUAUGUUUUCAAGCUGUUUUCUCUAAUGCAGUGAGUUCUGAUUUGGAGAAUUCUUGGCAUAAAAUAGUUCUCCCUGCAGGCCAGAUUACCUACUCAUACCUAGCUCUUGCAACUGUGGAAAUUUUUUCUUGGAACUUUACUUGUAAGUAUUUUUCAUUUACUGUAAUAUACUAUUAGAGUUGAAAGGGAUCUUUGGAAGUCCAACUCCCUCAUUUUGACUGAGCUAGGUCUGGAACCCAGGUGGUCUCUUAUCUACUAGCCCCACACCACACCAUAACAUUUUCAUAGUCAAGUGGCUGCAGCAGAAUUCAUGUUUCACUUUUUUUUUUUAGCGGGGAUGGCACAUUCUCUCAUGCCUCAACAGUAAUCAAAGAACAAUGCAGCCUGAUUGUCUGCUCAUCACCAUGAAUGUGGAGCCAGCCAUCAGAAGGGAGAGCUUUCUAGUUGCCUUGGUCUGGAGAGGAGAGCUGUCCAAAUCUGUGUCCCAGAAGCCACCUUCUGAGAUACUACCUCAACAUGGCACACUGAAUAUACAUCAGCAUAAAGUCGGUCAGCCAGGCAAUAAACAUUUAUCAAACACCAUGAGCCAAGUAAGAAAGAGCUUGCCUAAUGGAAAAGGAUCCAGGAUCCUUCAAGGCAUCCUAUACAAUGUGGUGCUUUGAUCCCCUGGAGAGGAAAUGCCUCCAGUUCUUGUAUGGAGGGUGUGUAGGAAAUGAAAACAGAUUUCUCACCAGAAGGGAGUGUUAUCAGAGAUGUGCUCCAAAAUCAGCUGACAACAGCCUGUUCUGGGAUGAGGAUGAAGAAAUUAACAUUGGUCUUAUUGUGGGGAUCAUCGUGGGAUGUGUGUCAAUAAUUGUUUUGCUUGUGACACUGACUGUGGUCUUCUUGAAGAAGAAGAAGAAGAAGAAGAAGAAGAAGAAGAAGAAGAAGAAAAAGUAAGGAAAGUGCCAUUGCACAGAGCUUUGGGGGAUGGGGUGUGACUUGACUGUGGAGAGGAAGAGGGGAGGAAAGCAUUCUAGGUAUGCUCAGUGCUGGAG
rnacentral:lncRNA from 1 species